AUUUCUACUCCCCUGGCCUCCACCAGGGCCUCCUGAGCUCAGAUGCGUCCUGCUCCCAGCAGUGUGCUGAAAUAUAGAUGGCUACUCUGCCUGCUAAUUAGUCAUAAGAUCUUUUAAAGGAGUUCUGGGGGGCCCACUUAUACAUUUCAGGGUUUAACUCAUCCAAUCUCAAGUUCAGAACUUUAAAUAACCUGUUUGAUUCAUCACCAUGACCUGCCAGACUUAGCACUGGAUUUCAAAUUCAAGGCAAUCAAACAAUGAAAACCAUAAAACGUAGUGAUUCCGUUCUAAGGAUGGUUUCCACUUUGGGGUGACCUUAUUAUAAUUCCUCGUCUGUCUGUCAGCACACAGCAGUUUCACAGUAAGGAAACGGGUGCAGAGACUGACUGAAGGAGCUAAUGCGUCUGAGCCCUACUCCGGGUUGAUUCUUACGGCUCAAUAAACUAUGGAGCUUCCCAUGUACCACCAAGGAGGGUGCCACUCAAGGUUCUGACACAGAAGCUCUGGGCUGUACGGUAGGGCAGUGCUCAGGCUGAGCCUGCUCCGACAGCCUGAACACCUCCAAAGCUGUGUCUGCUUGGUUGUGAAUUCCGCUUCUCCCAGGCCCGGCAGAGUGGCUGGCUCAGACAGCUAAGGAAUAGUCGUUAGACACACUCAGAAGCCUGACGUCACACAUCACAAGCUCCUGUCGAUCGGAUCAGAGAGCCGUCUCUGCAGGUACCGUCCCAGGACUUUAUUUCCACCACUUGGUGGAAUUUCCCCGAGAGCCCUGAGGUAACGCCUCUUACAAGCACCCUACAACAUGAAGGAUAGCGGGUCAGAAAAGGCUGAAGUCUACCGCACGAGUCUCAUGCUGAGUGCACAGCACCUGUGGCUUACCCCCCACCCCCACCAGACUUGCAUCCCAGUGCUCCAGAGCAAACCACUGAACCCCGCACCAGAGCGCCAGAGCCUCCCCAUGUCUGCCGCCUUCCAGAGACUGAGGCAGCGCCUUUCUGGCUGGGGGGUGUGCACACACCUUGGCAGCAGGCAUCUCCCCGAGAAGAUGGCAUGUAUGAGACAGCCAGAUCCCUGGACUCCACAAAUUACAAAUUCCGAACUUCACAUCACAUUUCAUAUUUUGCCAUUUUUUAUGAUAUUGUAAUUAGCAUCUUUUUUCAUACAGCAUUGUUAAGUGACUCAGACUAAUUCAUUGGGACAGUUUUCAGGACGAAGUGCUAGAGAAAGAGGAUGAUACACAAUUUCCAGAUCCUUGCAAAAUCACUCUGUAAAUAAAAAGAAC